UACAGAGGUGGCAAGCGUUGUCCGGAAUUGCUGGGCGUAAAGCGCGCGUAGGCGGCUAGAUAAGUCCGGUGUGCAAUCCCACGGCUUAACCGGGGCACGGCAUCGGGGACUGUUUAGCUUGAGGACGGGAGAGGAGAGCGGAAUUCCCGGUGUAGCGGUGAAAUGCGUAGAGAUCGGGAGGAAGGCCGGUGGCGAAGGCGGCUCUCUAGAACGUCCCUGACGCUGAGGCGCGAAAGCGUGGGGAGCAAACAGG
rnacentral:rRNA from 1 species